rnacentral:rRNA from 1 species
UUGACUCUUCAAAGGUCUUGGAAUAAGGGGGUGGGUAAGGACGGUGCCAGCCGCCGCGGUAAUACCGGCGCCUCAAGUGGUAGUCGAUUUUAUUGGGCCUAAAACGUCCGUCGCCUGUUUGGUACAUUCGUGGGUAAAUCAACCAGCUCAACUGGUUGAAUUCUGCGAGCACGGCCAGACUUGGGACCGGGAGAGGUGUGGGGUACGCUCAGGGUAGGGGUAAAAUCCUGUCAUCCUGAGCGGACCACCUGUUGCGAAGGCUCCACACUAGAACGGAUCCGACGGUCAGGGACGAAGCCUAGGGGCACGAACCGGAUUAGAUACCCGGGUAGUCCUAGGUGUAAACGCUGUGGACUUGAUGUUGGGGACGCUCCGAGCGUUCUCAGUGUCGAAGCGAAGGUGAUAAGUCCACUGCCUGGGGAGUACGGUCGCAAGGCUGAAACUUAAAGGAAUUGGCGGGGGAGCACCGCAACCUGAGGAUUGUGCGGUUUAAUUGGAUUCAACGCCGGGAAUC